ensembl:snoRNA SNORA70 Small nucleolar RNA SNORA70
AAACAAGCCAAUUAAGCCAACCGGGUUCCUUUCCUCAUGGUGGCCCAGUGUGCUGUGGCUGCAAACAGCAGCCUCCUUGGGAGUGUAGUAACCUAUUGCUUGUACACACUACCCUAAGGGACCUUGGAGACAGUU